UUUUUUUUCUUCUUUGAGAUUUGGAAUUUGGUCUCUUAAGAACCUACUGAGAAGAUUAGUUAUGUCUGAUAUGGUCAGCCCUACAUGCAUUUUUUUUCUGUUUAUUGCAAUAAAGGCGUGAAGGUUUUUAUUGGAAGUUUUUUUUGAAGUUGAGAGGAAGCCUUUACAUAGUUGUUUAUCAGAGUCACUAAAUAGCUCAGACAUCCCUGGUGACUUAGCUGGUGGCCUUUACUACCUUGCUGGGUGCUUGUGAAAGGAGACUGUGCUUGCUUCCUUGCCAGCAAAGUGUCAUGAAGCCAGAUGCAGUGGGAAUUGCUGCAGUGAGCAAACUUAGCAGGAUUGUUGCACAAGAUUGGCAAGUGUCCAGCUUUAGACUAUCUUGGAAGAACUGGCUUUAGGGCAGAGAGGAAAGGUUUAGACAACAACUUUCUUGCUUCUCGGUGGCCUUAUCCUUACUAAACCUGACUGAGGCUUCUUUGUGCCUUUCCCACAUCUGGUUCUUAAGUACUUUCUGUGGGUGGGAGCUUUGUAUAAGGCUCCCGUGCAGGUGCAGUCACAACUUUCCCUAGAGGAAUAAGUUAGUUUGUGCAGGAGUUGACAGAGGGUGUUUUACAGAACAAUUGGAAACUUCACUCCAUACCAACUUUAGUGGCUUGAAUAGGUAUGGACCCCAUAGACUCAGGUAUUUGAGUGCCUGGCCCAUAGGGAGUGUCACUAUUAGGAGGCAUGGCCUUGUUGGAGUAGAUGUGGCCUCAUUGGAGGAAGUAUAUCGCUGUGGGCUUUGAGGUGUCCUAUGCUCAAGCUCUGCCCAGUGUGGGACAAAGUCCUCUCCUUGCUGCCUACAGUUCAAGAUAUAGAACUCUUAGCACAAUAUCUGCCCAAAGGAUGCCGUGCUUCCCACCAUAGUAAGGACUAAACCUCUGAAACUGUAAUCCAACCUCCAUGAAAUGUUUCCCUUUAUAGGAAUUGCCUUGGUCAUGGUGUUUCCUCAGAGCAAUGGAAACCUUAGAUUCUCUCCUGUAACUUCUCGCCACCAGAGUUGAGUGACGGUCACCUGUCCAAUCUCAUAGUUUUCCUUAAGUUUAACACAUCAGUGAUUCUUCAAAAAUAACGAAUUUCUGAAUACACCCAUGAGAACACCCAGUAGCACGGGUAGCAAGGUGCUUUUGCUUUGAGUCUGUCCUGAGUGUGUUCUUCACUGUGCAAGGCCAAAGGGGGAUUUUCUUGGUUUUUACUCCUCUUGCCAUGAAGAUUUUUUUUUUCCAUUAAGUAAAAAUACACCCAAACUGUGAACUUCAUUAAAAGAGGAGUGUGAGAGAAUUAGAAAUGAGCAGAAUGCUACCUCUAUGUCUCAGGAAAGUUUCAUGGGACCUCUCAGUACUGCCCAUUGAACAAAUUUAAUCCAUUGUUUCAAUAACAUUACCCAUGAUGUCUUUUCUGUUUUAGUUUUCUUCUUUUAAAAAUUCCUGGGAAAUACCAGAACCUUUCCAAGUUAACUAAAUAAACUAACACACGUUUGAAAUGUUUCAAAGUAACCUAGAGCCAGUGAUUCUAAACUUUGCUAUUUGGGUGACUUUCUGCUGAAGGACAUAUCACUAAAUUGCACGAAGAUCCUUUUUUGUUCCCCAUUAUCAGAAACUAAAGCAGAACUAAGCUGAAUAAAUUUUCCAAUUUACACGAGUACCUUCUAAAUGGUCUCUUUAUAUACAUUGCUUGCAUACGCUUGCAACCCGAGUAUCACCGAGAGCUACAGUUUGUCAGGGUUUAGCUCUUAAUUAGCUUAUGAGAUUACAUCCUUUUGAAGCUGUAGACCACAGGUGUUGGCUAGUUUUCCAAAAGCAAUUAAAAUGCCCACUGUUAUAAUUAAGCUUGUUACUUGUUGUAUGUUCUGGUUAUAAAAUGUAUUGGCAAUUAAGGAAAUGGAGACUGAGGCAUUUGGCUUGGCUCUUAGAGAUGCAUUAGACUCGACUUCAACCUUGGUCCCUUAGGAGAAGGUAUGGGUCCCUGGGUCAGUUGUAGUACCUUGAAUAUUUAUUGUUAUACCUUGAAUAGCAAUAGCUGCAGAUUAUUGUGGAGUUUAUCAUGGUGUUCCAACAGAUAAAAGAUAAUGAAAACUGUAUCUUUUAGAUGGUGGUCUUGUAGCCAAGACGCCUUUAUAAGAAACAUUGCCUUAUCUUUAAGAAGUUGGCUUGACCCUGACAGAAAAAUUCAGUCUGUUAAACUUUGACUCCCCAUGUUUCUUGUUCAUUUUCACGUUGGUUACUGAAAAGGAGGUGUGGGAGAGUUGCCACAGGUUUAACGUGGCUAUGUCUGAUGUCACAGGUUUAACAUGGCUAUGUCUGAUGUCACAGGUUUAACAUGGCUAUGUCUGAUGUCACAGGUUUAACAUGGCUAUGUCUGAUGUCACAGGUUUAACGUGGAAUGUCUGAUGACUCUACAGCAGUACAAGCUGUUACAGCACAGUGAGGUUUGGCCGAUGGGAGAAAAUUUGAUAACAGUCUCCAUGGCAGUACAGAUCUUAGUGGCUGGUUUUGCAUGUUGAAUUUCUUCUUUCACCUCACUGACUCUUUGCAGCAUUUUUUGGGGGUAUGUGCACCCCACAAUAACAUGGUAGCAGUGUCAUGGGGCUCACAGGUCAUUUCGUGAUCACGUAGAAAUCACCACGUAAAUAAAGUCCUAUGAAAUUUUUGUACUUAUUUUGAAAUUCCUUCAACAUUUGUGGAAGAAGAUGGAGCACUUAUUUUAUGUGGUUCCAUCCCAUUGCUUUGGCCUGUUUGUGCCCUUAGGCAAUUAACAUGAAAAUGAAGGCUUAGAAAUGAAUUGAACAUUUAGAGCAGGGCCUGACUAGGCUUCACAGGACAUU
rnacentral:lncRNA from 1 species